GACGAACGCUGGCGGCGUGCUUAACACAUGCAAGUCGAACGGAAAGGCCCUGCUUUUGUGGGGUGCUCGAGUGGCGAACGGGUGAGUAACACGUGAGUAACCUGCCCUUGACUUUGGGAUAACUUCAGGAAACUGGGGCUAAUACCGGAUAGGAGCUCCUGCUGCAUGGUGGGGGUUGGAAAGUUUCGGCGGUUGGGGAUGGACUCGCGGCUUAUCAGCUUGUUGGUGGGGUAGUGGCUUACCAAGGCUUUGACGGGUAGCCGGCCUGAGAGGGUGACCGGCCACAUUGGGACUGAGAUGCGGCCCAGACUCCUACGGGAGGCAGCAGUGGGGAAUAGUGCACAAUGGGAGGAAGCAUGAUGCAGCAACGCCGCGUGCGGGAUGACGGCCUUCGGGUUGUAAACCGCCUUCGCCUGUGACGAAGCGUGAGUGACGGUAAUGGGUAAAGAAGCACCGGCUAACUACGUG
rnacentral:rRNA from 1 species